rnacentral:rRNA from 1 species
UACAGAGGUCCCAAGCGUUGUUCGGAUUCACUGGGCGUAAAGCGCACGUAGGCGGAUCUUUAAGUCAGGGGUGAAAUCCUGGAGCUCAACUCCAGAACUGCCUUUGAUACUGGGGAUCUCGAGUCCGGGAGAGGUGAGUGGAACUCCGAGUGUAGAGGUGAAAUUCGUAGAUAUUCGGAAGAACACCAGUGGCGAAGGCGGCUCACUGGCCCGGUACUGACGCUGAGGUGCGAAAGCGUGGGGAGCAAACAGG